CAUCAAACAUAUUCUAAACUAAAGAAGAUAAAUUACCUUGAUGAAAUCGUCCCUAACACCAAAACAAUCUAACCAACGGAGGAAUAUUGGUCUACCCGCACAAGAUAAAGCAUCAUCACAACUAAACAGGGAACACGUCAAAAGAGCAGCCAAAACAAACAAUCUCAGUCUUGCCCACCGCAGGAAAACGCCUAGAUCUGCAAGGCCAAUCAAAAUCAUAAAUGUUAUAAAUCUUUUCAGCAUUGGGAAGAUUAUACAUUUUGCUCUUACAGUGAAAUAUAUCAAUUCUUGGUUGAGAAGAUGAUACACCAUGAGCAGCAAAACCAACCCCAGCCUGCAAAUUUUAUAUAGCAGUUAGGAAAAUACGAUAAAAACACAUAU
rnacentral:lncRNA from 1 species